AUAGUAUUGCACAAUUGCAAGAAAUCUUCAAUUGCACAGUAUUGCGCAAUAGCAAGAAAUCUUCAAUUGCACAGUAUUGCGCAAUAGCAAGAAAUCUUCAAUUGCACAGUAUUGCGCAAUAGCAAGAAAUAUCCAAUAGCACAAUAUUGCGCAAUAGCAAGAAAUUGUCAAUUGUACAGUAUUGCACAAUAGCAAGAAAUAUUCAGUUGCACAGUAUUGUGCAAAAGAAGAUACUUCGUAUAAAUUACUAAUUUCUUGAUCAAUUUCAAUGGGGUUUUAUUCUUGAAUUCUUGGGGUUCUUUAAUAUGCUGAAUCUAACCGUGUAUUAAGUUUUUGGAUUUUGGGCCCCGUUAUUAAAUUGGUCCACAUUGAGGUCCAAAGGGUCCAAAAUUUAACUUUGUUUGAUUUCAUCAAAAAUUGAAUUAUUGGGGUUCUUUGAUAUGCCGAAUCUAACCGUGUAUUUAGAUUCUUAAUUUUUGGUUCCGUUUUCAAAUUGGUCUACAUUAAGGUCCAAAGGGUCCAAAAUUAAACUUAGUUUGAUUUUAACAAAAAUUGAAUUUUUAGGGUUCUUUGAUAUGCUGAAUCUAAACAUGUAUUUAGAUUUUUGAUUAUGGGCCCAGUUUUCAAGUUGGUCCAAAUCGGGGUCCAAAAUUAAACUUUGUUUGAUUUCAACAAAAAUUGAAUAUAUGGGGUUCUUUGAUAUGCUGAAUCUAACCAUGUAUUUAGAUUUUUGAUUUUUGGGCCCCGUUAUCAACUUUGUCCACAUUGAGGUCAAAAGGGUCCAAAAUUAAACUUUGUUUGAUUUCAUCAAAAAUUGAAUUCUUGGGGUUCUUUGAUAUGCUGAAUCUAACCAUGUAUUUAGAUUUUUUAUUUGUGGACCCGCUAUCAAAUUGGUUCAUAUUGAGGUUAAAAGGGUCCAAAAUUAAACUUUGUUUGAUUUCAUCAAAAAUUGAAUUAUUGGGGUUCUUUGAUAUGCCAAAUCUAACCGUGUAUUUAGAUUUUUAAUUUUGGGUCCCGUUUUUAAAUUGGUCUACAUUAAGGUCCAAAGGGUCCAAAAUUAAACUUAGUUUGAUUUUAACAAAAAUUGAAUUCUUGGGGUUCUUUGAUAUGCUGAAUCUAAACAUGUGUUUAGAUUUUUGAUUAUGGGCCCAGUUUUCAAGUUGGUCCAAGUUGGGGUCCAAAAUUAAACUUUGUUUGAUUUCAACAAAAAUUGAAUAUAUGGGGUUCUUUGAUAUGCUGAAUCUAAACAUGUAUUUAGAUUUUUGAUUUUUGGCCCAGUUUUCAAGUUGGUCCAAAUUGGGGUCCAAAAUUAAACUUUGUUUGAUUUCAACAAAAAUUGAAUAUAUGGGGUUCUUUGAUAUGCUGAAUCUAACCAUGUAUUUAGAUUUUUUAUUUGUGGACCCCAUUAUCAAAUUGGUUCAUAUUGAGGUCAAAAGGGUCCAAAAUUAAACUUUGUUUGAUUUCAUCUAAAAUUGAAUUAUUGGGGUUCUUUGAUAUUCCAAAUCUAACAGUGUAUUUAGAUUUUUAAUUUUGGGUCCUGUUUUUUAAAUUGGUCUACAUUAAGAUCCAAAGGGUCCAAAAUUAAACUUAGUUUGAUUUUAACAAAAAUUGAAUUCUUGGGGUUCUUUGAUAUGCUGAAUCUAAACAUGUGUUUAGAUUUUUGAUUAUGGGCCCAGUUUU